rnacentral:misc_RNA from 1 species
UUUCCAUAGGUGAACCUGCGGAAGGAUCAUUAUUGGAUUUUGAAACUUCAGGCUGCUGCUGGCUCUCCUCGGAGGGCAUGUGCACGCUUGUUGUCCAUUAUUUCUUCCACUGUGCACAAAUUGUAGACCUUUCAGUAGGCCUAUGUUGUUUUUCACAAUCUCUGAAUGUAAUAGAAUGGUUUUGAAUCUUGGGAAAUACAAUACAACUUUCAGCAACGGAUCUCUUGGCUCUC